rnacentral:misc_RNA from 1 species
CCCUCGUUCAAACUAUUUUUUUUUUUUUCAAAUGUUAAACUAACAUUGAAUGGCAAUGAAGCCAUACAGGCAGUAUCCAAAAAUAAAUGUGGAAUGCUAAGGGCACGAUAGAAAAUGAUGAUAGCUAAGCCAAGCAUUUCAUCAAGUGCAGGGAGCUCGGCCAGCAAAGCAGAAAGAACCGACUGCGAGGGCCCUUUGUCAUAUAUUGGUUUUCACAAACACCCUCUCACUUCGUUCUAGAGGAAGAAAUAUUGGACUAGUCGAAGGAUUCAGACAAUGCAUAUCUCACUUUCUGUUCUUGCUCUC